rnacentral:rRNA from 1 species
AUACGGAGGGAGCGAGCGUUAAUCGGAAUUACUGGGCGUAAAGCGCUCGUAGGCGGCUUGUUAAGUCGGAUGUGAAAUCCCCGGGCUCAACCUGGGAACUGCAUUCGAUACUGGCAGGCUAGAGUAUAGUAGAGGCAAGUGGAAUUCCGGGUGUAGCGGUGAAAUGCGUAGAUAUCCGGAGGAACAUCAGUGGCGAAGGCGACUUGCUGGACUAAUACUGACGCUGAGGAGCGAAAGCGUGGGGAGCAAACGGGAUUAGAAACCCCAGUAGUCC